GCUAGGCGUGGUACCACACGCCUGUAAUCCCAGCGACCCAGGAGGCUGAAGCAAGAGGAUUGCAAGUUCAAAGCCAGCCUCAACAAAUUAGCGAGGCUCUGAGCAACUUAGCAAGACCCUUCUC
rnacentral:sRNA from 1 species